rnacentral:rRNA from 1 species
GUAGGUGGCAAGCGUUGUCCGGAAUUAUUGGGCGUAAAGCGCGCGCAGGCGGGUUCUUUAAGUCUGAUGUGAAAGCCCACGGGCUCAACCGUGGAGGGUCAUUGGAAACUGGAGAACUUGAGUACAGAAGAGGAAAGCGGAAUUCCACGUGUAGCGGUGAAAUGCGUAGAGAUGUGGAGGAACACCAGUGGCGAAGGCGGCUUUCUGGUCUGUAACUGACGCUGAGGCGCGAAAGCGUGGGGAGCAAACAGGAUUAGAUACCCUGGUAGUCCACGCCGUAAACGAUGAGUGCUAAGUGUUAGGGGGUUUCCGCCCCUUAGUGCUGCAGUUAACGCAUUAAGCACUCCGCCCGGGGAGUACGGCCGCAAAGGCUG